rnacentral:rRNA from 1 species
GGUCUGGAAUGAUUUCCUUUGAAACUCGUGCUAAGGAUGAGGCUGCGGCUGAUUAGGCAGUUGGUGGGGUAAUGGCCUACCAAACCUAUGAUCAGUACGGGCCAUGAGAGUGGUAGCCCGGAGAAGGACACUGAGAUACUGGUCCUAGCUCCACGGAGUGCAGCAGUCGCGGAAACUUUACAAUGCACGAAAGUGUGAUAAGGGGAUCCUAAGUGCCUAUGCUUAGCAUAGGCUUUUUCCAAGAUUAAGGAUCUUGGAGAAUAAGUGGUGGGUAAGACUGGUGCCAGCCGCCGCGGUAACCCCAGCGCCACAAGUCGCAAUCACGAUUAUUGGGCCUAAAGCGUCCGUAGCCGGACCAGCAAAUCUUUUGUGAAAUCGUUAAACUCAAUUUAACGGCGAGCAGAAGACACUACUGGUCUUGAGACCGGGAGGAGUUAGAAGUAUUCCUGGGGGAACGGUAAAAUGUGAUAAUCCCAGGAGGACUACCAAUGGCGAAGGCAUCUAACCAGAACGGAUCUGACGGUCAGGGACGAAAGCUAGGGGAGCGAACCGGAUUAGAUACAAAUCUUUACGAAAGAUUUGAUAGAAAGUGUGGAACAUGCGCUAACGCUUAGUUCCACGAGUGGAUGUUUGUGUUCGCAGUAAAUGUACUAUAAACGUUCAUACAUGGUAAAGAUUUGCUAAUUACCCGAGUAGUCCUAGCUGUAAACGCUGUGAGUUAGGUGUCGCACAUUCUUCGAGAAUAUGCGGUGUCGAAACGAAGGUACUAAA